rnacentral:rRNA from 1 species
CUGGCAAAUUUGCCCCCAGGAAACGGCGGGGGAGGCAGCUUUCAAAUUUGUGCUUUUGCGGCACCUCUGGCUGUCCGAGUUGUAAUUUGGAGAGGAUACUUUUCGUCUGGUUGCUGCAUAGCACCCUUGGAACAGGGUGUCAUAGAGGGUGAGAAUCCCGUCUUAAGUUGUUAACCAUGUCCAUGCGAAGUUCCUUCGACGAGUCGAGUUGUUUGGGAAUGCAGCUCUAAGUGGGUGGUAAAUUUCAUCUAAAGCUAAAUAUUGGCCAGAGACCGAUAGCGAACAAGUAGAGUGAUCGAAAGGUUAAAAGCACCUUGAAAAGGGAGUUAAAUAGCACGUGAAAUUGUUGAAAGGGAAGCGCUUGCAACCAGACUCGGUCACAGGGGCUCAGCAGGCAUGCGUGCCUGUGUACUCCCCUGUGUUCGGGCCAGCAUCAGUUCUGGCGGUUGGUUAAAGGCCCUUGGAAUGUAUCGUCCUCCGGGACGCCUUAUAGCCAAGGGUGUAAUGCGGCCAGCCGGGACUGAGGAACGCGCUUCGGCACGGAUGCUGGCAUAAUGGUUGUAAGCGGCCCGUCUUGAAACACGGAC